CUUGUCAGACUAAGCCAUGCACGUGCAAGUAUGAACGCUCUUCACUGCGAAACUGCGAAUGGCUCAUUAAAUCAGUUACAGUUUACUUGACGGUCCCCCCCACUUGGAUAACCGUGGCAAUUCUAGAGCUAAUACAUGCCCCCGGUCCCGACUGCCCCUCCCCGGGGGCGGAAGGGACGCAUUUAUUAGAUACAGAACCGGCGCGGCCUCGCCCCAGGGCGGCGGCCGUUUCCUCCGGCGAGUCAUGAUAACUGUGCGGAUCGCACGGCCCUGCGCCGGCGACGUUUCAUUCAAGUUUCUGCCCUAUCAACUUUCGAUGGUAGGGUCUUGGCCUACCAUGGUUGCAACGGGUGACGGAGAAUUAGGGUUCGAUUCCGGAGAGGGAGCCUGAGAAACGGCUACCACAUCCAAGGAAGGCAGCAGGCGCGCAAAUUACCCAAUCCCGACUCGGGGAGGUAGUGACAAUAAGUACCGAUGCCGGGCUCUCCGAGUGCGGCAAUCGGAAUGAGACCGCCUUAAAUCCCUUAUCGAUGAACAAUUGGAGGGCAAGUCUGGUGCCAGCAGCCGCGGUAAUUCCAGCUCCAAUAGCGUAUAUUAAAGUUGUUGCAGUUAAAAAGCUCGUAGUUGGAUUUAGAGGGGGGCGCGCCGGUCCGCCGCGAGGCCCGGUACUGGCGCGCUCCUCUUCCUCCCGAGGGCCCCGUCUGCCCUGUGCUGCGGUGGGCCGGGGACCUCGGGACUUUUACUGUGAGGAAAUUAGAGUGUUCAAGGCAGGCGCUCCGCUUGGAUAGGUUAGCAUGGAAUAAUGGAACAGACUUGGUCCUGUCUUGUUGGUUCUCCCGGGACCGAAGUAAUGGUCAAUAGGGACAGUCGGGGGCAUCCGUACUCAGCUGUCGAGGUGAAAUUUCGGAUUUGCAAAGACGAACGGCUGCCAAAGCCUUUGCCAGGAUGUUUUCAUUAAUCAAGAACAAGGUUGGGGGUUCGA
rnacentral:rRNA from 1 species